rnacentral:rRNA from 1 species
UUUAGGUUGGGGCGACCGCGGAGUACAAUAAAACCUCCACAAUGAAUGGGAACACCCCCUUAUCUGAGGGCCACACCCCCUAAGAAUUAGAACACUAACAUAAAAUGAUCCAUUACUUGAUCAAUGAACCAAGUUACCCUGGGGAUAACAGCGNAAUCCAUUUCAAGAGCCCCUAUCGACAAAUGGGUUUACNACCUCGAUGUUGGAUCAGGGUACCCCNGUGGUGCAGCAGCUACUAACGGNUCGUUUGUUCAACGAUUAAAACCCU